AGUGAACGCUGGCGGUAGGCCUGACACAUGCAAGUCGAACGGCAGCACAGUAAGAGCUUGCUCUUACGGGUGGCGAGUGGCGGACGGGUGAGGAAUACAUCGGAAUCUACUUUUUCGUGGGGGAUAACGUAGGGAAACUUACGCUAAUACCGCAUACGACCUACGGGUGAAAGCAGGAGAUCUUCGGACCUUGCGCGAUUGAAUGAGCCGAUGUCGGAUUAGCUAGUUGGCGGGGUAAAGGCCCACCAAGGCGACGAUCCGUAGCUGGUCUGAGAGGAUGAUCAGCCACACUGGAACUGAGACACGGUCCAGACUCCUACGGGAGGCAGCAGUGGGGAAUAUUGGACAAUGGGCGAAAGCCUGACCCAGCCAUACCGCGUGGGUGAAGAAGGCCUUCGGGUUGUAAAGCCCUUUUGUUGGGAAAGAAAAGCAGCAGGUUAAUACCCCGCUGUUCUGACGGUACCCAAAGAAUAAGCACCGGCUAACUUCGUG
rnacentral:rRNA from 1 species